UACGUAGGGGCUAGCGUUGUCCGGAUUAUUGGGCGUAAAGAGCGUGUAGGCGGCCAGGUAGGUCUGGUGUGAAAUCUCGGAGCUUAACUCCGAAACUGCAUUCGAUACUGCCGUGCUUGAGGACUGGAGAGGAGACUGGAAUUACGGUGUAGCGGUGAAAUGCGUACGAUAUCGAUAAGGAAGACCGUGGCGAAGGCGGGUCUCGUCGGACAGCUUCCGUGACGCUGAGGCACGAAGGUCAGGGGAGCAAACGGGG
rnacentral:rRNA from 1 species